rnacentral:tRNA from 1 species
AACUUGGCAGAAUUAAUGCGUCUGAUUUAGAUUCAGUUUAUAGUAUAUUUACUAGUU